rnacentral:rRNA from 1 species
AUGUAUGGGUUUAGCGAGGACAAGAAGGACGUGUGUGCAGUGUGGGAAGCGCCUGCAGAUUUCAAGCACCACAAUUUGUCUGUGCUCAGGGUCUUUGGGUUUCAGUGCGAGGAGAGUUUUGUGAAUUACGUGAAAAGUGUCAUGGAAGCAUCGGUUCCUCUGGAGGACAUAUACUUGUAUGAGAAGCCAGUGUGUGCGUACUGUGAGCACAUGAGGCAGAAUGACAGAUACCCGCGGACAAGCAAGCUUAGGACGGCGCUUAGGAACAUAUUUGACAGGGGGAUGUGCUCGCCUCUGAGAAUUCAUUUCCCACUUUCAACAACAACCUGA